GAUGAACGCUAGCUACAGGCUUAACACAUGCAAGUCGCGGGGCAGCAUGGGGGUUGCUUGCAAUCCCCGAUGGCGACCGGCGCACGGGUGAGUAACGCGUAUCCAACCUGCCCUUCACCACGGGAUAACCCGGCGAAAGUCGGACUAAUACCGUAUGUUGUCCAUUGACGGCAUCCGAUUUGGACGAAAGGUUUGGCGGUGAAGGAUGGGGAUGCGUCCGAUUAGCUGGACGGCGGGGUGACGGCCCACCGUGGCGACGAUCGGUAGGGGUUCUGAGGGGAAGGUCCCCCACACUGGAACUGAGACACGGUCCAGACUCCUACGGGAGGCAGCAGUGAGGAAUAUUGGUCAAUGGGCGUAAGCCUGAACCAGCCAAGUAGCGUGCAGGAUGACGGCCCUAUGGGUUGUAAACUGCUUUUAUGCGGGGAUAAAGUGGCCCACGUGUAGGUUUUUGCAGGUACCGCAUGAAUAAGGACCGGCUAAUUCCGUG
rnacentral:rRNA from 1 species